rnacentral:rRNA from 1 species
CCUACGGGGGGCAGCAGUAAGGAAUAUUGGUCAAUGGGCGGAAGCCUGAACCAGCCAUGCCGCGUGCAGGAUGACAGCCCUAUGGGUCGUAAACUGCUUUUGUACCAGAAUAAACCUAUUUUCGUGAAAGUAGCUGAAUGUAUGGUAAGAAUAAGGAUCGGCUAACUCCGUGCCAGCAGCCGCGGUAAUACGGAGGAUCCAAGCGUUAUCCGGAUUUAUUGGGUUUAAAGGGAGCGUAGGCGGCCUGUUAAGUCAGAGGUGAAAGACGGUAGCUCAACUAUCGCAGUGCCUUUGAUACUGACGGGCUUGAAUACAGAUGAGGUAGGCGGAAUGUGACAAGUAGCGGUGAAAUGCAUAGAUAUGUCACAGAACACCGAUUGCGAAGGCAGCUUACUAAACUGUGAUUGACGCUGAGGCUCGAAAGCGUGGGGAUCAAACAGGAUUAGAUACCCUAGUAGUC